rnacentral:rRNA from 1 species
UACGUAGGGUGCAAGCGUUAAUCGGAAUUACUGGGCGUAAAGCGUGCGCAGGCGGUUAUGUAAGACAGAUGUGAAAUGCCCGGGCUUAACCUGGGAACUGGCAUUUGUGACUGCAUGGCUAGAGUUUGGCAGAGGGGGGUAGAAUUCCACGUGUAGCAGUGAAAUGCGUAGAUAUGUGGAGGAACACCGAUGGCGAAGGCAGC